CAUCUUUCUAUAAUUCAGAACCAAAAGCGGAACAAUACCAUGGAAGGUUUUAGGAAGGGAAGCAGAGUGUCCUUUUUACACCAAUGAGGUGAGUCAUGUUCUUUUCUGAUGUCUCUGGGAAAGAUGUGAUCAACAUAAGAUGUUUUAUUGCCGAUGCCUAGGUAAAGCAAUCUCAGUAUUCAUGUCUCAGAAACGUGUCUUCAGAUUCAGUUUCACCUCUCUGAAAAUGAGCUCUCCUAUGGGAAGGUUUGGUUACUAGUAUAAUUACAGGCUUCUGAGGGUGCCCUGGCUGUGUCUUUUGUCCAUUCCCAACUGUUGCUCCUUCUUUAAAAUAUACAUAUGUUACACUUCUGCCUGAUCUCUUGACAGUGCUGACGACAAUGCCUUUUCCUACUGGUGGGCCACAUGCAUCAAACAGUUUCACAACAUAUGGUUGUCAGAAGGGCCAUCUAUGAAGCAGCAUAUAUACCAGCACUUAAUGUUAGCAUCUCUCACCACUUAGUGAACGAAUUUAGUCACAAGUCAGGCUGGGAUUCUAAUUUUUUAAUUAUGUAUUUACUUACUUUACAGACAGGGUCUCUGGUUACACAGGCUGGAGUGCAGUGCAGUGGCACGAUCAUAGCUCACUGUAACCUUGAGCUCCUGGGUUCAAACGAUCCUUCUGCCUCAGCCUCCAGAGCAGCUGGAACUACAGGCACGUGCCACCAUGCCGGCUAAUUUAUUUUAAACAUUUUUUGUAGAGACAGGGUCUCACUAUAUUGUCCAGGCUGGUCUCGAACUUCCAGCCUCAAGUGAUCAUCCUGCCUCAGCCUCCCAAAGCACUAGGAUUACAGAUGUGAGCCACUGUGCCCACCCCAGGCUGGGAUUCUAAAGAUAGGCAGGCAAGGGCUUUUGUUAGAAGGAAAUUGUCUAAAAUUUCAGCAAGCAAACAUGUGUUUUUUCUUGAUGAGGACACCAUACAACACACAUCUCCACUAAUGCAAGACACUUGGAAACGGGCUUUGCCAGAGAUAUUCCACAAGAGGUGAGACGCUAAGACAGCUAGUUUACUGGCCUCAGCAGUAAGCAAGAGAAAUAGGUCAACAUUUCAGAAUGACAUAGGAUUCUGAGGAAUUCAUGAGGAACAGAGACUCAUGCCCAUGUCACCUGCUAAAGUUCAAAGGAUACACCUUUACACGUGGGAAGAUGCUAUGCAGUGACUAUUAGAAAAGGAUAGAAAAGUUUAAAAGGGUUUUUUGUUUUCUGUUUUUUUGUUUGGUUGAUUUUUUGGACUCACCAAAGUAGCCACUAGACCAUCAAGUUUGCGAGACACGACUUCAUAAAACACAAAUGUCUGUAAUCCCAGCACUUUGAGAAGCCAAGGUGGAUGGAUCACUUGAGUGUAGGAGUUCAAGACUAGCCUGGGCAACAUAGUGAGACCCUCAUCUCUAUAAAAAAUACAAAAAGAGUUUGCUAGCUGUGGUGGCACAUGCCUGUGGUCCCAACUGCUUGAGAGGCUGAGGUGAGAAGAUCACUUGAGCCUGGGAGGUUGAGGCUGCAGUGAACUGUGAUUAUGCCACUAUAUCCUAGCCUGGAUGACAGAGCAAGACCUCAUCUCAAAAGAAGAAAAAAAAAAAA
rnacentral:lncRNA from 1 species